rnacentral:rRNA from 1 species
GACGAACGCUGGCGGCGUGCUUAACACAUGCAAGUCGAACGGUAAGGCCCUUCGGGGUACACGAGUGGCGAACGGGUGAGUAACACGUGGGUGAUCUGCCCUGCACUUCGGGAUAAGCCUGGGAAACUGGGUCUAAUACCGGAUAGGACCACUGCCUGCAUGGGUGGUGGUGGAAAGCUUGUGCGGUGUGGGAUGGGCCCGCGGCCUAUCAGCUUGUUGGUGGGGUGAUGGCCUACCAAGGCGGCGACGGGUAGCCGGCCUGGGAGGGUGACCGACAACAAUGGGACGGAGAGACGGCCGAAGCUCCUACAGGAGGCAGCAGUGGGGAAUAUUGCACAAUGGGCGCAAGCCUGAUGCAGCGACGCCGCGUGAGGGAUGACGGCCUUCGGGUUGUAAACCUCUUUCAGCAUCGACGAAGAGAAAGGGACGAUAGGUGCAGAAGAAGGACCGGCCAACUACGUGCCAGCCGCCGCCGUAA